rnacentral:rRNA from 1 species
CUACGGAGGGUGCAAGCGUUACUCGGAAUCACUGGGCGUAAAGCGCGCGCAGGCGGCUUGAUAAGUUGGAUGUGAAAGCCUACGGCUCAACCGUAGAACUGCAUCCAAAACUGUCAGGCUAGAGUGUGGGAGAGGAAGAUGGAAUUAGUUGUGUAGGGGUAAAAUCCGUAGAGAUAACUAGGAAUACCAAAAGCGAAGGCAAUCUUCUGGAACACUACUGACGCUGAGGCGCGAAGGCGUGGGGAGCAAACAGGAGUAGAAACCCCAGUAGUCC